UUUGGAACCAGCAAUUGGCCACAGGCACACACACCCCCAAUCAGAGGCGCGCACCCCGCUCGCUCCCGGAACUGUCAUGCGGGCUGACAGCUGGCACACCCUCCUGUCGCCCUCCACCCGCCUGCAGAAAGCCCACUCCUUACAGUCACCUUGACAUUGCUCACCUGCCUGGGCCUCAGCCCAUGACCAAGGAAACUUUUGCCCUCCCUCCCCUGGAGCUCACUUACAGGCCAGCUUCAAAGGUACUGCCUACCUGAACCUGCCUUGUCCCAAAAGGACACACUUCAGUCUGGGGAGAGUUUAAAGUUGUAGACAUAUCCAUUUUCAUUUAAGGAAUAUGAAGAUCAGGGAGGCAAAAUAUCGAGAGGAAAAAUUGAGAGAUGAUCAGAAAUUCAGACGCAUUCUGGAAUGAGCACCCUUGACCAUACCAAGAACAAAGAUUCUAUAAAAAUGUGAAGUCUUAUUAUUAUUCAUCCAUGUUCUACGUGGGAUCCACCCAAGACAUUGAAAACUGUACAGAACAGGGUGAAAUUGAAUCAGAUCAUUCUGUACUCCUAACAAGGUCCACCCCAUGAGAACUUGCAGCAGAAUUAAUGACACUGUAUAUUUUCCUCUACUAACAACAACAACAACAACAACAACAACAAUCUAGGAAAAUCAAAGGCAGCCCGACAUGGAAAAUAACACAAAAUGAAUAUUUGGAUUACAAAUAGUGUAAUGGGAAGAACACACUGCCAAAAGUCCACCUAGUAUGUUGAAAUUACUGUUUCUAGCACAUAUAAGAUUUGCUGCCAAUUUGUACUGACUUCUGAAAAAUACUUUAUCCAUUGUCUUCUUACAUCAGAAUCAACUCCCUAAAUUCUUCAGCACUGGCUUUGUAAACUGGUUUCUGGUCUUUGUUUCUGUCAACUUACCUAUAAAAGGAUACAAAAACUGAAGAACAGAGAGGAGCAGAUACCCUGGAAAGCCGAAAGUUUUAUUGACCAAAGACUGAGUCUCGGAAUGUUUUGAUUAGGGGCGUUUAUAGAGUUCAGGCUGAAGUUUUAUAAAAAUAACUUGCAGCAGCAUGGAGGACUGAUGAGAAAGUAGACAGAUGCUGGAAGCAGGAAAACUGAACAGCAGGUCACUGGCCAAGGAGAAUCAAAGAGCUGGAUGCUGAGAAUAAUGCAGCCAUAACGUGAAAUCUUUUUGAGACCACUCACUCUGGGAGAAAGCAACUGCUAUGUCAUGAGGAAAUUGAAACCACCUAUGGAGAAAGGCCCACAUGGUGAGAAAGUAAAGCCUCUUCCCAAUACCAAAAUUCUGUAAGUCUGCUACGGUGACAUUUCUGGUUAGGAGUCAGAGUGGAUGGGACACUGAGCAAUAAGGUAAGUAUUAGCAUGUGAGUAAGCCUUGGUUUGCCCAAGAUAGUUGUCAUUUAGGCUUCCUGUCCCAAUGUAAUCAUAAGUAGCAUUGUAUUAAUCCAUUCUUGCAUUGCUAUAAAGAAAUACCUGAGACUGGGUAAUCUAUAAAGAAAAGAAGUUAAUUGGCUCAUGGUUCUGCAGGAGGUACAGGAAGCAUCACACUGGUAUCUCCUUCUGGGGAGGCCUCUGGAAGCUUAAGGUCAUGGCAGGAGGCAAAGCAGGAGCAAGAGAGCCAGAGAGUUGCUACACACUUUUGAACAACCAGAUCUCAAGAGAACUCACUAUGGCGAGGACAGUACCAUGGGGAUGGUGCUAAACCAUUCAUGAGAAAUCUGCCCCCAUGAUCCAAUCACCUCCCACCAGGCACCACCUGCAACACUGGGGUUUACAUUUCAAUAUGAAAUUUGGUUGGGGACAUACAUCCAAACUAUAUCAAGCAUCUUUGUCAUUCUCAGAAGUGUUCCUGUUUGGAUGAUAGGUUCCAAUAUCAUGCUACCUAUGGGGUAGGAUGGGGGGACCUAUUGGGUACUAAUCUCACCUAAUAUGUACAUAACACUUCACAGUUAUCUCUUAUAGUAUUCAAGCUGAGAAAGGAUGCAGAUCUUAAAAACAUGUGCUUUGGGUUAUUUAGUUAGUAUAGUGUAUUGGGAGCUCAGGCUCUGGAAUCAGAAAAAAACUGGGUCUGAAUCAAAGUUCAAGAGAUCUUGGCAAGUUCCUUUAUUCUUUGAGCCUUAAUGUGCUUAUUUGUAGAAAGGGAAAACUAAGAGUACCUCUCUCAAAGUGGUAGUUUUGGGAAUUAAAUGAGAUAAGCUAAUUUUUAAAUUAUUGACAUAUAAUAAUUGUACAUAUUUAUGAGGUGCAGAGUGAUAUUUGAUACAUGUAUAAAAUGUGUAAGGAUCACAUCAGGAUAAUUAGGAUAUCCGUCACCUCAUUUAUCAUUUAUUUGUGUUAUGAGCAUUCAAAAUCCUCCCUUCUAUCUUUUUGAAUAUAGAUAAUACAUUGUUACCUAUAUCCACCCCACAGCAUAAUAGAACACUAGAACUUAUUGCUUCUAUCUAGUAACUUUGGAGGUGACCUAGACUUCUAUUAGUUUCCUAAAACUGCUUUAAUAAAGUGUCAUAAACUGGGUGACUUAAAACAACUGAAAUUUAUUGUCUCACAGUUCUGAAGGCUAGGAGUCCCAAAUCAAGGCAAUAGCAGAGCCAUGCUCCCUCUGAAGCCUACAGGGGAGAAUCUUUCCUAGCUUCUUGUGGUUGGCUUGUAGAUGCAACACUACAAUCCUCCAUCUUCACAUGGCAUUUUCCCUGUGUCUCUACACACUGUUCCCUCUGUGCAUGUCUUGUCUGUGUCUGAGUUCAAAUUAUCCCCUCCGUUUUUUUUUUAUUAGGAUACCUAUCAUAUUGGAUUAGGGCCCACCCUAAUGGCCUCACCUUAACUUGACUACACGUGCACCUACAUCUGUUUCCAUAGAAGGUCACAUUCUAAGGUAGUAGGGGUUAGGACUUCAACAUCUCUUUUCAGGGAGACACAAUUUAAUCCAUAAUACUAUUUUUAAAGUAUUUAGUUAUUUGCUUGGCCUGUAAUAAGCUCUGAUUAAUGUUUUCUGCUGAUAUAUCCAAACAGAAAAAUACUUCGUUAGGCCAAAAUCAUAUAAGAUCGAGGGAAUUUUGGCGCAAGAGAAACUGCUAUUUGGCUUUAGAUAUUUAUUUUCUCUUCCUCCACCCUGAAAGAGACUCUGAUUUUGGUCUUGACUGUGGCUACCUGGAAAGAGAACUGAAAUAUACAUCCUUACUUGUAACUGGUUGUGGUCAUACAGCUAAGUUUGACCAAGAAGAAGAUGCAGGUGAACUGUAAGUCCUUAAUGAGAAGGAAAAUAAUGCCUUACCUUUCUUUUGCUCCUUCUCACUGGCCAGAAUGCAGAGACAUGAUGGCUGAAGCUGGAGCUUUUCCCUGAAGCAACCACCUGUUGGAAACUUCAUGUUGAAGAUGACUGAGUAAUAAGACAGAGGGGUCUGGGUCCCUGGUGGAUAUUCCAGAUCUGGGUGUUCGUGGAGAUAUGAGAAAGCAAUAAACUUCAAUUUUGCUUAAAUAGCUGUUACUUGGGGCAUUCUGUCAUUUACGGACAAAUCUGACCUGGAUUAAUACACCUCCGCUGGGUACCAAGACUGAUCUAAUAGUCAAAAAGGUUUCAUUCCAUCUAGAUAUUUCUCUAGAACAGGACCUAAAGAAGUUCUUUGACUGAAUUUCUUAUGGAAGUAAUAGGAGAGUUCCUUGUGCUUCAUUAAAUGCUGUAUUGGUAAAUAUAUAUGGUUUAUCAUUACAUGCAAAUAUAAUAAGCUAUAAAUCAUUGGAUUCUGAUAUUUUUAGUUUAGUCUCACUAAUGAACUGCUAAGAAAUCUUGGAUAACAUAUCUAGAAUAAUACUCUCUCUUUCCAAUAUGGUAUGGAUCCUUCUGUGUCCUGUGUUGUUGGUCUCAUCCAUAUAUCCUUAAGUGUCUGGUCAGCAUGACUGUCAAAGGUUUACUUUGGGAUCUACAGAGAAUUCUUAGUCUUUGAUCAUUAACGUGAGGACUGGCCCACCAAAACUGAAGCUCUGACUGACUUGAGUGUACUCUCAGCACCUUUCACUUUGCUGCCUGUAUUCUCUGCAUAUGUGAUAGAAAAUAUAAUUUUAAAGUCUGUGUGGAAAAAAGUAUUUCUACUGGAAAUCCAAACUGAAAUUUGAUCCUUCCUUUUUUCAGCUCAUAAUAUUUUCUUUGUAAGAUCAUGUACCAUUUCCUGGCUCCAGAAGCUGGAGGAGGUGACUGUUACAGCUUAGUCAUUUUGUCAGAGGCGUUUGAACCAGAGUAACUCCAUCUUGAAUAGGGGCUGGGCAAAAUGAGGCUGAGACCUACUGGGCUGCAUUCUCAGACAGUAAAGGCAUUCUAAGUCACAGGAUGAAAUAGUAGGUCGGCACAAGAUACAGAUCAUAAAGACCUCACUGAUAAAAUGGGUUGCAAUAAAGAAGCCAGCUAAACCCCACCAAAACCAAGAUGACCAUGAGAGUGACCUCAGGUGGCCCUCACUGCUACACUCCCACCAGCACCCUGACAGUUUACAAAUGCCAUGGCAACAUUGGGAAGUUACCCUAUAUGGUCUAAAAAGGGGAGGCAUGAAUAAUCCACACCUCGUUUAGCAUAUCAUUAAGAAAUAACCAUAAAAAUGGGCAACCAGCAGCCCUCAGGGCUGCUCUAAGGAGUAGCCAUUCUUUAUUCCUUUACUUUCUUAAUAAACUUGCUUUCACUUUACUCUGUGGACUCACCCUGAAUUCUUUCUUGCACAAGAUUCAAGAACUCUUGGGGUCUAGAUUGGUGCCCCUUUUCUGUAACAUCUUCAUGCCAGCUAUAACAUGAAUAACACAAUGCAAGACAGUGGAUAAGCAAACUGUGAUUAUCUUCAAAUAAUAUCAGCUUUUAUCACUCACUAAUGAAUAUGCCCAAAACACACCCAAAGUGACAGGGUAGAAGAACCAAAAUUGGGGGCUUGGUACCCUUUAGUAUCUUUUAGUCAACGUGAUCUAUGAAGGUUACACUAUAAUAAGUAAGAGUUCAUUUACCGAUUUUGAUCUUUUUUCUUCUUUUGUUUUAAUGAAGUUCCGUUUGCAUUAUGUCAUCCCUGUAUCAGUUCAAUUUGGCCUGGACAAAGGACAUUUUAUACCCUUAGGAUGGGUUGGCCAGGAGGACCAGAUUCUGGCAAGAUAGUACACUUGACAGAGACAACUAAAGAACAUGCGACCUGGGGCACAGAGUGGGGUGGAACCUUGGCAGUAGAAGUAUUAGGGACAACUGUGACUGUGCAUCCUCUCCCAGCUACAGCAGUGCCUUCUUAUAUAUGAUGUUUGCUAGAAAUACUGUUUGCCACAAAGAAUGACAGUGGUGCUAAAAUCAGGAAGUGGGAGCAAAGGGACCAAAAAGACUUUGUGGUUAGAGCCAAGAUUGCCCAUAGUGUAGAAAUAUGAGGCUGGCAAACUUUCCCCACAUCUCUGAAUCUGACUUAAGUCUUUUUCUUUCUGGUCAUGGGUAAUUUUGUUUACUCCUAAAAUACAAUACUCGAUCCUUUAUUGCAUGCCAUAGCUAAGUAUGGUUGUAUCUGUGGGAAUGGUAAGCUUAUUGGGGGAAAGGAUCACGUUUAUGUUGCUGUUGAUGAAGAUUUUUUUUUUCCCACUGAACGUAGCAUAGUGAUUCACACAGUCACUGCUGCUCAUUAAAAAUGUUCCAAAUGGAAGAAACAAUCCAAACAGGAAUUAGCAAUUAAAAAGCCUUGUUGUUAAGUGACAAUAAGUUUCAUGUCGACAGCAAAAAGGACCAUCAGGAGAACAUUUAAGUAAUGAAAUUAUGAUGUUCAUUUGCCUCUAGGGCCUCUAAGAGACAGAAAAGCCUGGCUCAUCUCCAUUUACUAAUGCAACCAGAAUAUUUUGAAAAAUACAUUUUAGAAAGAGUGAUACAAAAUUGUGAUACAUUUCUAACCAUUUGACAAAUUAACACUUUGUUUUUAAACCCAAAGGUAGUGUAAUAUUAUUGUUAUUCAUACAAUAAUUAAAGGAUGUGUUAAAAUUAUUUAUAAUGCUUAAAAUGGGGUGGUGUUAUAAUGGGUCAUAAGUUUAAGAUUAAGAGUGACAUGUUUUAAUUUUAGUGUAUCUGUGCUGCUGUAGGUGUAACUGCCCAGUGGUUUCUUCCUGCCUGCUACACAAACAAAAUCAAUUCACAGAGACCAUGGCAUUUCAGUAAAAGAAGAGUUUAAUUGACAUGAGGCCAGCCAUUGCUAUGUGGGAGAUGGAGUUAUUAUUCAAAUCAAUCUCUCCAAGAAUUUUAUGGCUAGAGUUUUUCAAAGGUAGUUUUGGGGAAAGGGUGGGGGUGGCGAGGCAAUAGGUGCUUGCUGCUGAUUGGCUGGGGGUGCAAUCACAGGGAUGUGGAAAUGGUCUUCCUGUGCACUGAGUUGCUUCUGGGUGGGGCCACAGAAGCUAGUUUUUGGUGGGUUUAGGUGGGGCCGUUGGUUAUGAAACAUGCAAAAAAACCUGAAAAGAUAUCUCAAAAGGCCAAUCAUAGGCUCUACAGUAGUGAUGCUAUUUGCUGGAGUAAUUGGGGAAGUUGUAUAUUUUGUAAUCUCCAGAAUAAUGGCUAGCAAUCCUUUAUGUCUGCACCUUAGCAGAAUUCAGGCUCUUCUAUCCUCUUAGCCUGGUGGUCUUUCCUUUGCUUUACAAAAGCAGUUGAGUUUAUGGGAAGGACUAUUAUCACUUAAACUGUAAACUAAAUGUUUCCCAAAGUUAGCUUCGCCCAAGUCCAGGAAUAACUAAGGACAGCUUGAAGGGUUAAGGCAAAAGCUGGGUGGCUAGAUCGGAUCUCCCCCACUGCCAGUAUUUUCUUACUGAUAGAAUUUUUACAAAGGUGGUUUCAUAGAUAUAACAUAACUAAUCUGAGGCUUUUCAAACAUUGAAAGCUCAAGCCAAAUGGCCCUUCUCAACUGCCUGUGACAGACCACUGUCUAUCUUAGAAGUGUUUAGUAGAAAUGUAUUAAAAAGAUGCUAAGGACACCCAAAAGACUAGCAAUUGAAGUUAUACAUUAUCCACUCACAUUUCAAAAGGAUUAUCUACUUAUCCUCUAUAAGGAGGGGAAAGAAUGUGCUAGGUUUCACAAAUCAGACCCAAUGCUGAAAUUGCCCCAGUAACAUAUCUGAAAGCUCACAGGCUGUGAUUAGAAAAACAAUGUAGGAUCUAUUGAAUAUGCCUACAUUUCUCAUUUUUGAUCAUUACUAGUUACCAAUAAAGAUUGUGUGUGUGGCAUUCUAUAGGUUCUGAAAACAAGAUAUGUAUGCUCUAUAGUUUGGAACCAAUGUUCAUUAUAUGUUGACUAACUUGAUUAGGUAGAAUAAGAGAUGUACCAAAUGAGUGAAAUAGAUAUAUUUGUUGGAGCAAUUUAGAGGAAGUAAUGAUCAUAAGAGGGUGGGGUGGGUGGUCAGUGAUAUUUGAUGGAAGGCUGGAAACGUAAAAUUUAGCCUAGUAAAAAUGAAGUUUAACUUACAAAUAUAACAUCCUGAUCUUGAAUCUGAAAAACCAACUGUAUAGGUGCAAGGUAAGAACAUGUGGGUUAUCUCCAACUCAUUUCUAAUACUGCUUUUAAUUAACAAGAAGUUUAAAUAAUGCAACAAUUUAAUGGGGCUGAGAAAAAAGUCUAACACAGUCAGGUAAAGUACUUGUAAUAAAUUACACAGAACAAGGAUGACGAUAAUCCAGGCCAUCUGUGUUGGUCACACCACAUAUGGACUAUUGUUUUCAGCUCUGGAAGCCACAAUUUGAGGAAAGUUACAGAUCAACUGGGACAUUUACAAUUGAGAGGGAUCAGAAUAAUGAGAGGAUACUGAGUCUCACAGUGCUUUAAGUAGCCAGAGAAUAAAGACUCAGAGGUUGAAAGGCUCACUCAAUAUAACCAAUGGCUUUAUAACCUAAUUACUUAGAGAUGUCUUGGGAUAAACUGAGUGGUAAAUUAUUACUAGAGAUAUUUAAACCUGAGCGUGACCACUGGGCAAGGACAUUGUAGGGGAUGACGAAGGAUAGAAAGGAUGCUAGGUGUUCUCCUUUGCUUGUGAGUAAACAAAAACCUACUUGAGCUUCUUUAGGAAUGGGGAAAGUGGUGAUUAGAAAAAUUUUUGUAAUGAAUCUAGGACUAGAAAAUUUGUCAACAUUCCAGGUAUCCCUAGAUUUUUCUUUUCUCUGUCUGUCAUGGCCAGCGUGAUCUUUUUCUCGUGGAAUCUUAGCUUUUAUCUGUAGGUCUACUUCAUUAUUCUCUUGCAACUGACUGGUUAGUCACUGAGUUCUCUGGGGAAAAUUCCAGAACAAGUGAGUCUGACAGGCUUAGCUACAUACCUUUGCCUCCCCUGAGCACAGCUUGUUGAACCACACCUCCUCCUAGGAGGCUGCCAGCUGUUAAAAGAUAAACUUAAGCACAUUAACAUUUUAAAGAGUUUAUUUGAGCAGACAGUGAUUCAUGAAUUCACAGUGCCAAACCACAACCAGGUUGGGCUCCACUGAAGGGGAAUAAGGGAAAAAGUUUUAUUAGGUGUUCUGGGAAGCAAGACAAAGAAAAUAUUUGAUUGGCUAAAGUAGCCUUAAAGUCCCUAGUUAGAGGUUAGUUGGCAGUUUCUGAUUGGUUAAGCUUAAGUUCCAUUUUCCUAGGCUAUGACCAUUCCCUCUGAGUUGGGUUUGAGUUCGCAUGUAGGAACUCAGGGGGCUAGAGCCAUCUCAGUUUAAUGGUUUCCCAAUUAAUUAUUUUAACACAGCCUAGGGAUGAGCUCUUCUUGGGCUAGUUACCAAUCCCUUAUCCAGUCAAUGGGCCAUUGUGCCAGCUACAGUGGCUUCCCUACAAAGCAGUGGGGAGUGAGAAUGAAGAAAACAGCUUGAGCUAAAGGUGGGUUUGAGCAGUGGCCUGCAGUAUGGUUCAUACACAUGGAAACACUAGAUGGCAUUAAAAUUCCUCUACCACUUGUAAUUUCUCAAUUCCAUGAUGCUAGUGUUACCCGAGGGUCUUUGUAUUUAGAGCUCCCAGGAUGGUGGCAGCUGCUCCCAAGAUGGCGGCAAGCCUUUUGUUUUCUGACCUGGGGUUCUUGGCCUCACGGAUUCCAAGGAAUGGAACCUUGGGCCAUGCAGUGAGUGUUAUAGCUCUAUUAGAAGCUGUGGGUCACGGAAGAGAACCGUGGAACCCAGCCACUAGUGUUCAGCUCGAUUAGGAUGAACCCAGGCACUUAGCCAUGCAGGAACAAUGGCAAGCCUCUAGCCCGAUCGGGAGCGGCAUUGGGUGCCUCUCUGGAUCAGAAGUGCAGCAGACAUCCUUCCAGAUUCGGAGGGGUGGAAGUCAGCGGCAGGUCUGCGAUAGUGGCGAUCAGCAGUGGUGGACGGGGAGCAUAAGCUCAGCUCGAACUGGAACAAACAUAGACCAGAAGAGUGUGCAGUUGCAAGAUUUAAUAGAAUGAAAACAGCUCCCAUACAACGGGAGGGGACCAAAGGGUUUCCCAAUCUGGCUUGAAUGCCUGGAUUUAUAUCCUGAUCAUUGUCCCUCCCCCUGUGCAUUUAGGUGAUAGAUGAUUUGACUAUUUCUUUUUUAGCCUAAUUGGUAUUUUAGUGAGCUCUCUUUACUACCUAAUGGGUCGGGUGUGAGCUGAGUUACAAGCCCCGUGUUUAAAGGUGGAUGUGGUCAUCUUCCCCAGCUAGGCUUAGGAAUUCUUAGUUGGCCUAGGAAAUCCAGCUAGUCCUGUCUCCCACUAGUAGGAUUAGAAUUCGACCUUAUCAUUAAAAAUGAGAUAAGGGGAGGGUAUUAGUCCGAUCUCAUGCUGCUAUGAAGAAAUACCCAAGACUGGGUAAUUUAUAAAGAAAAGAGAUUUAAUUGACUCACAGUUCCACAUGGCUGGGGAGGCCUCAGGAAACUUACAAUCAUGGCAGAAGGGACCUCUUUACAGGGUGGCAGGAGAGAGAAUGUGCCAGCAGAGGAAAUGCCAGACACUUAUAAAACUAUUAGAUCUCGUAAGAACUCACUCGCUAUCACAAGAACAGCAUGGGGGAAACCACCCCAUGAUUCAAUCACUUCCCACCAGGUCCCUCCCAUGACAUGUGGGGAUUAUGAGGAUUACAAUUCAAGAUAAGAUUUGGGUGGGGACACAAAGCCUAACCAUUUCAGGGAGAAUAUGAUAAUUCCUGAUAUGGAGAAUAAGAAACAUGUAUCACUGGGGUAAAUAAAAUAGUAAGGAGAAAGGAGUUUUUGGAAUCAAAUAAAGGUAGAUUCUGAUUAGUUUUAUUAUCAUUUCUCUUUACUUUUUAGUUUAUAAUAUUGUCUUUUAUUACAUGCUUUCCUUCUGUUAACUUUGGGGGUACCACGGGCCUAUUGCUAGACAAACAGUAGCAAAGGUGCACAAUUUGCAAAGAUGUAAAAUAUAUUUUUGAGAUAUGAAGCACUCUGAAUGUUUCAUGAGUUAAAAAUAAUAUGUCAUAGUAAGUGGCUUCAUUCUUAUUAGCGGUUGAUUUCUCUAUAUCAUCCAUGUGAGAAAAUGAAGUGAAAGCAAGAAUGCAACAAUGCAUGUUUCCCCCUUGAUUUCUUGGUAUCUCUAUCUUUUAAAAAAAUUUUACAGAAAAUAUUUGUUUUUAAUUUCAGUUCAUCUUUCUUUUACCCCUUCCUUAGCUGUGUUCCUUUCUCAAAGUUAUUGCAAUCUAUUUCUUACUCACAUGAGACCCUAAGGUAUUUUCUAAAAAAUGUCAGUAUGAACAAAGUGACCACUUGCCAUAGGAGCUCAGCCUGACUUUUAAAAGAAGUUUUAAAAUAGUGUGGGUAAGAAUCAUAUGAAUCCAUUUAGAUUUGUUAUAAAUACUACUACCUUUUUCAACUCAAUGUCCAAAAGGACCUUCAUGCCCCUAAGGGCUAGAAAAGGAAAAACUCAGACAGCAGCCACAUUCCCAUGACCUUGCUUUGCAGGGACCUGACCCAGAUGUGGUGGGAAGCACAGGACAGCAAAUCUCUUACUGAAUCUUUUUAUGCAUGAGGUUGGCCUGGCCUUAAACGUCCCUACUACAAUGACUUAAAAAAUGGUGAUUAAAUAAUGUAAAACAUAUUGCCAAUAAAAAGUAAAUUAUCUAAAGGAAAGAAGCUACAGACUGAAAGAUUGGAAAUUUUUAAAAGUAGCAAAAUCCAAACCAAACCAUAAGAAGACAGUGUGGAGUGUGUGUGUGUGUGUGUGUGUGUGUGUGUGUGUGUGUGUGUGUGUUGUAAGAAUCAGGUGGUGUGUCCUACUGAAAAGCCUGUACAUUUUACCAAUUGGUGCCUUUUGGGGAAAAUAAGAGCAAUCUAAAAAGUCUAAUGCAUACACGCAUAUGUGCACACACACACACUCACACAGAAUUUAAAUGCCGGAGAAGAGCGAAAAUAAACCAUGUACACUGUUCCCUUUAGCUUAAAUAGCCAGUGGCUAUCAAGGCACCAUAACUCCUUUUAGAUUCAGGUACAGGGAAAAAAACCUUUUCAUUUGUAUAUUUUUCUAUGCCCUAGUUAGAAGAAAUAUUUUCCUCUUAGAAAUUCCUUUCGAAAUAAUUUUCUAUUCCACAGCAAAUUCUGGAAUUAUUACUGUUCCAUUAUUCAUUUAUUAUAGGUUCUGUUUUGGUUCAAAUUAUCUCUAGUUACUUUUCUGUUAAGCUACUAACUGACAUUAUUUGAAUCUGAUAAGAUUCAAAGGAGGCAACUUAAUUCUUUCAGUGAUUUCAGUGAUAAUAAAAAUAUUCACAAGAAGCAUGGUCUUUAGUAGUUAAAGGGUUAAUAAUACAUAUGCAUGAUACCAAGUUCUGGUCCUUCACGAAACAGGAAGUCCGGGUUCCAGGAUCAGUAUUGUGAAGAGCUCAGAUCUUCUGGGUUGGUCAAUUGGGCUACACAGUAUCUCUGGAGAGUGGCAUUUGGGGUCCAGAAAAUGGUGCAAACAUUUAAAAACUUUUUCAUCAUGUCACCAGCUAGCCCAAAUAGAAUCUGUCUCAGAUGAAAAUCUAGGAAUUUCUUUUUCUUUCUUUGCUAGCUUCCUUUUUCACCCCUUCCAUCCAUCAAUUUCCUCAAUCUAUCCUUUCUUCCUCUUUCUUCCCAGAGACUGGAUUCCAUUUUGGAUGGAGUGGUAUUGAGUCUUUACUAUUUCAUGUCAGGAGAUUUAGGUCCUUAUCACUGUGCUCAGUGGAACAAGGAAAGGCUGAUGCUUCUUAACACUAUUAACUGCUACUUAUGUAUUUACAUGUGCACCGUUUCUAUUUGCUCUUCUUAAAACUCCUUCCUCACCAUUUUAAUUUGUAACAUCUCCCCCUCCCCACAUACAUCCUUCAAAGCAAGGAGCACGAGCAUCUGCAGUUUUACGAAAUUAAUUGACUGAGAUGGUGGCAGCGUCAAGUUUUUUUUUUUUAGGCAAUCCAAUUGGAACCAGAGAGGAGGAGAGUGAGGGUGAUUGGUGGUGUUACUUGUUUGUCUGGAAGUUGCAUUAGCAUAGCAAACAUAUUGUAAUUAAGACACUACUUUUUUUCUCUCUCACUUUUCCCUUGAAAAUUUAUUCAGUGGGGAAACAUUUUCCUGCUACUGAAUGACAUUUCCAACAGCCCGCAUGACCACUAGGCAAUAGAGUCAGAGGGUCUCAAUUUAGUGAUUAAAGCUUUGCAGAGAAGCAGGUGGGAACCUGCAGUCUGGGAGGCAGUGGGAAGGCUGGUUGGCUUCGCAUCUCUUACUUGACCCCCUGCCCUCCUCAUUUUUGCUGAACUCAGAUUUUGGCAGCUCUGGCAUUUGAAAGUCUGGGAAAAGCCUCUCUUUCAAGUUCAUACAUGACUGGUAUUACUGUAAGCAGACUUCUUAAAAGAUGAAAGUGUUCCCUUUCUCUUGUGAACUGAUUUCAUGGGUUCUGAAAAUCCCUCUGACAUCCCUGGUGGUUUCUCAACUCAAAUUCCUGUCAUUACCUCAAAGGUUGUUUAAUCCCUCCGAAGCUCCUGGAAAUCUUCAGAAAACUGAAGCACUGCACAUUUUAUUUAUUUGUUUAUUUGUUUAUUUUUGAGAUGGAGUCUCUCUGUUGCUCAGGCUGGAGUGCAAUGGCACGAUCUCUGCUCACUGCAACUUCCACCUCCCGGGUUCAAGUGAUUCUCCCGCCUCAGCCUGCCAAGUAGCUGGGAUUACAGGCACCCACCAGCAUGCCUGGCUAAGUUUUGUAUUUUUGUAGAGAUGGGGUUUCACCAUGUUGGCCAAACUGGUCUUGAACUCCUGACCUCAGGUGAUCCACCCGCCUCGGCCUCCAAAGUGCUGGGAUUACAGGUGUGAGCCAUUGCACCCAGCCAGCACUGCACAUUUUAAGUGUAUGUUCUAUGAGUUUUGAGAAAGGUACACGUGCAUGUAACCAUCUUGCUAAUCAGGAUAUAGACUAUUUCCAUCACCCCCAAGGAGUUCCCUUUUGCACUUUGCAGUCCGUCAAUCUUCCUCUACCCCUUAGCUCAGACAACCACAAAUCUACCUUUUGCCAUUAUAGAUUAGAUUUUCCUGUUAUAAAUUUUUAUGCAAAUAAAAUAAUAUACGAAAUGCUCAUUUGUGUCUGGCUUCAUUAACAUAGGAUAAUGAUUUUGAGAUUAUUCAUGUCAAUCAGUGUUAUCAUUCAUUGAUUUAUUUCAUUGUUGGAUGGUAUCCCAUUAAAUUGAUAUACCACAAUUUGCUCAUCAAUUUACUUACAUGUUUUUGAGUUGUUUCCAGUUUUUAGCUAUGAUGAAUAAAGCUGCUGUGAACAUUCAUGUACAAGUCUUCGUGUAGAAAAUUGUUUUCUCUUGGUAAAUACUUAGUGGUAUUAUUGGGUAGUAUAGUAAAUAUAUGUUUAGCUUUACAAAGUGCUGCACAAUUUUAAUCUCCCACUAGCAAUGUAUGAGUGUUCCAGCUGCUCCACAUUUUUCCCAAUAUUUAAUACUGACAACUUAAACUAUUAGACAAUCCAGUGGAUAUAUAGUGAUAUCUCAUUUAGAUUUUAAUUUGCAAUUCACUAAUGAUAUACUAUUGAGCAUCAGAUCUUUCAUAUUGUACUUUAAAACUAUUUUGCUAAGACACAUAUCCAGCAUAUGGAAGACCCUCAAUAAAUAUUUAUUGAAUUUAUACAAAUUGAACACAGAAAAUGCAGCUCAUCAGAGGAUUUGAGCUAAUUUCCUGGCAUUUAUGAAAUACUGAGCAAGUUGUCAAAUGAGAGCACUUAAGCUAAUUCUCAAGUAUUUAAAAGAAAGUGUACAUCCUCAUCUGUCUACCAAAUAUGGUCUCCAGGCAAUUUGCUCAAGGUCAAAUAGUGGUGGAACAAUGAUUAGAAACUACACUUCGUCAUCCUCAAUUUAAUUCUCUCUAUAUUUGACUCAGGAUAAAUGUGAAACAUUGAUUUUUCAUAUCAUUUUAUUGAAUGUAUGUUUUAUUCAAUUACUGUUUUGCCACAGUAUCUCUCCCUGUUCAUUAUUAAAAACUUCAGCUCUUGAUAAAAACCUAAUCACCUAAAAUUUAUUUCCUUUCAUAAAAAUGUAUUUCAAGUUCCAGAUACUUGAUUAACAAAUGAACCUUUAAAUAAGUGUUUAUUUGGGGAAACUAACAUAUUAGGUAGCAACUUUGUUUCCCAUCUUAUUAUUUUAUAAACAAUUAAAGGUUAACCAAUUCAAAGGUGAAUUGCCUUAAAUAAGAAGUGAUCUAUGUAUUAACUCUGAGGCCUGUAAUUGCAUUUAGCUGUAACUCAAAUGAGUUUUGUGUGUGCUGUGUGCAACUAACUGAAAGUCUGGGAUGCUCCGUUGCUCAAGCCAGGGCAUCAGUACCAUUUAAAUGCUUUGUUAAGAUCAAACAGCCAGCAAGAAACAAUUCAAUAAAUGUCCCUGGUUUCUACAAACAGAAGUUCAGAUAAAAAAUUGCCUGAAGCAAAAUUCUAUUUAGAUGAGGAAACAGGAAAUAGAGCAUUAUAAUAUGACUCUGAUGUCAAAAACAGGAAACUUCUGAAAGCAUCAUUCAUUUAGCAAUUUUGAUUAAUUUUUUUAACCAAAAAAACCGCUCUUUUGUAGUACUUUUUAAAAGAGAAAAAAGGGGAAAAUGCCUUACUUAGCCCUUCGCACACAUUUUAUUAUUCAUUUCUAACAUGGCACAUCACAUUGACAACUCAUUUUAAGUUUGAAUUUUUCUUACUAAGUAAUCAUUUUGUAUAUGCUAUUUUUUCCAUUGAAUUACAGUGUAUGAGAAGCAGUCUCUCAAAUCACCAGAUAGAAUAUGUGACAAUCCAUUUAGUUUGUAGUCAAUGUUCAUUAUUCCUCUACGUUUCUUUAUUUUGGUAGUUUAAUCAUAGUUCUUAACAACUGCCUUGAAAUUUAGAGAUAAAAGUAAUGUCUAAUUUUGGUAUCUUUAGUCACAAAAAUAGCUGUGGAACAAACUGUAGACUAGGAAGACAGAAGGGUGAGUCUUCAGAUAUCCUAUUUCAUAUUAGUUGAAGAAGAUUUCUUAAAACGUUCCUGUUUCUCCCUACAUUUAUUCAGGAAUUGGUUGAGGGAAAAGGAAAGUAGAGAGAAAUUCAACAGAUACUUAAUUUCUGGUUGGUGCUUUGCCUAUAUAUUACUGUACUGUUGCAUUACUGACACUUAUCACAGUGUGGGGUGCUAGUUAUUAAAUGUAAAGGAAUAACCUGAUUUAUUGUUUAUAACACCCAUAAUUUAGAAAUGUUGAGGAUGAAGCUCUUCAGUUUAAAUUGAUAAAUUAUCCAAGGUUAUAUAUUAAUAAUAUGUGCUUGAUUAAGUCAGUGAACUCAGAUUUGGGCAAUUCUGAGGUUCAUGCUCUGUCCAAUAUCAUAGUAAAAAUUUACAAAAUAUUUCAUGAAAGAAGACGUGACAAUUGGGAAAGCCACAAGAAUUUAUGAGUUUAUAUUUAUGAAGACCUCUGAAAAUCCAUAAGUAUAGUAGAUUUUUAUUUAGCAUGUGUUUUUCAGAAGAAAUAAUUUUCAGGUAUUUGCUUAGUUUUUGAAUAGUUAAAAUUAAGCUGUUAAAAUUUAUUUGGAACCUGGACAACAUAGUGAGAUUUUGUCCUUACUUAAAAAAAAAAAUUACCUGGGUGUGGUGGUGUGUAUCUGUGAUCUCAGCUACCUGGGAGGCUGAGAUGGGAGGAGAGUUUGAGCCCAGGACGUCAAUGCUGCAGUGAGCUGUGUUUGCACUACUGCUUACCACCUUGGGUGACAGAAUGAGACCUUGUCUCAAUUUUUUUUUUUAUUUGGCUUAA